rnacentral:snoRNA from 1 species
GUAUUAUGAUGGUUACAUAGUUCAGCAGACUGAAUGGAAAGAGAUUUACCAUGUCUAAUAUAAUU